GAUCCUGGCUCAGGAUGAACGCUAGCUACAGGCUUAACACAUGCAAGUCGAGGGGCAGCAUGGUCUUAGCUUUGCUAAGGCCGAUGGUCGACCGGCGCACGGGUGAGUAACGCGUAUCCAACCUGCCUUACACUCUUGGACAGGCCUUCUGAAAGGGAGAUUAAUACAAGAUGUUAUCAUGAGUAAGCAUUUUCGCAUGAUUAAAGGUUUACCGGUGUAAGAUGGGGAUGCGUUCCA
rnacentral:rRNA from 1 species